UACGUAGGGGGCAAGCGUUGUUCGGAAUUACUGGGCGUAAAGGGCGCGUAGGCGGCACAGCAAGUCGGGAGUGAAAGCCCGGGGCUCAACCCCGGAACUGCUUUCGAAACUGCUGAGCUAGAGUACAGAAGGGGCAACCGGAAUUCCCAGUGUAGCGGUGAAAUGCGUAGAUAUUGGGAAGAACACCUGAGGCGAAGUCGGGUUGCUUGGCUGAUACUGACGCUGAGGCGCGAAAGCCAGGGGAGCAUACGGG
rnacentral:rRNA from 1 species